UCAUCGACACUCAGCCCCCUUUCUCAAUGUCGAGAGCUGAAAAAUAGGGUUCGAGAGCGGCGAAGAGAGGGCUAGAAAUGGAAGCAAGCUGUGAGUUAAGGGAGGAUUAAAGCUUUAUUAGUUCUUGAACUGGGGUUGAAUUUAAUCUUCUUUGAUUUAAGGUACUAUUCUUACUCGAUUUUGUUUCUUGUACCUGUAUAUGCAUAUGCCUGUGUAUGUACAUCUCUCUCUCUUUCUCUCUCUCUCUCCCCUUCCUUUCUCUCCCUCUCCCUCUCUCCUGAGCUGUUCCUUCUCAUGUCUAGGUCAGAUUCACUGUUCGAUUUUCGCUUGCAUCGCUAAUUACUACUAAUCACACUCUAGAUCCGCGAAUCUCGGAUACGUGUUUCGCCUAAUUCAACUCGAAUCUGUUGUUAAUUUGUUAAUUAGUGUUUGACUCAGGUCUUGACUUCAUUAAUUAAGGCUCAGCUACUUGGAUAAUGUUUAUCUUACUUACUGUGUUUAUAGCUUGAAUGGCCGGAUGAUAUAAAACCCCAGGUUAGCUGUAAUUUUAUUGAUUUUUUACAUUGUUAUUUCUAUUUAUGCCUCUUUCAAAUAAUUUGCUCCUCAAUCAGGGUAGUAUGCACUAUGCACUUUAAGUAUUAUUGUUGAUAUUGUUUAAUUUACUUACUGUGUCUAUAGCUUGGGAUCAUUUGCUCAUUUGGGUUCUUGUUUAAGUAGUGCAACCGACAGUUUGUUAUGUUUAUGUUGCUUUGGAACACCGGAGCAGGUACUGCCAUACUUAUAUCCACUUAUCUUGCUGAUUUGUUUGCUUUUAUCCAGUAAACUUUAUAAAUAAUUUUAAUGUUGUGUGUUAGUUCCAACACAAUAUGAUUCAGAGACCAUUCCAAUUCUUGUUGUGCCAUCACUUUCUUUUCCUUUUAAUAGUUGACAUGCUAGUAAUUAAUUACAAGCAAUACAGAGCAUUAUUAAUUAAUUUUGUUUAUGUUCUGUUUCUCUGAUCUAGACAGUGAUUAUAACUUAUAUUUGGUCUGACCUCUAACAAUAGCAAGACGUUUGUUCUUGGAAUCUUGCUUCAUGGAAACAAAUAUUUGAGUGUGGAGUGUUGGUUCAAAGAAACAGGUGCUUCUGAUUGACAAGUCUGAAAGAUUUAUCUUUAAGCCAAUGUUACAUGAGCUUCUGAGUGGAGAAGUAGAUUCAUGGGAAAUAGCUCCACGGUUUUCAGAUCUUCUAGCAAAAACUGGUGUGCAAUUUUUACAAGAUAGAGUGAAACUUCUACAUCCAUAUGAUAAUUUGCGACUGAGCGGGCCUACAAGAAUGGGAGACUUGCUAUGUUUGCGGUGCUCGGAUUCUUUAUGAUUUGUUAAGUGUUUGACAUAAGUAGUAGUAUGGAUGUAUAUUUUGGAUGUUUUUGGAAUGUAGGGAAAUCUAUGUAUUCAAAUAGUACCUUUCAAUUUGAUAAUUUUUAGAACCUAUUGCAAUAGUCAUAUAAAAUGUGUUGUACUCGCUUUAUAUUUACUGUUGUUAUUUGUA